UCUGGUGGGCAGAGGCGGCUACCGGCCUAGCGACCUCUGUGUUUCUGCCCCAACAGGCAGUGGGAAGACACUGGCCUUCGUCAUCCCUGUGGUGCAGGCCCUGCUUUCGAGAGUGGUCUGCCACAUCCGUGCCCUGGUUGUGCUGCCCACCAAGGAGCUGGCCCAGCAGGUGAGCAAAGUUUUCAACAUCUACACAGAUGCCACACCUCUGAGAGUCUCCCUGGUUACGGGACAGAAGUCUCUGGCCAAGGAGCAGGAGAGCCUCGUCCAGAAAACGUAGGUUGUGUCAGGGUGCGGGUUUUUCAGGGGGUCCCUGCUCAGCCCUGCAGGUGGCCUGAGGCACCGUGGGAGCAGAGGAGGGGCCAGCAUCUUUAACCAUCUGUUCCCGUGAAGAGAAGGAGCUCCCACCCGCCCCCUGCCCAUGUGGGGUGGAGUCGGGGCUAUGGGGCGAGGCAGCGUCUUGCUAUCCGGAAGCCCUUGAGAAAGCUUCCUUCUCUCGAGCCGCUCUCUGGUCUGUAGAGCUGAUGGGUACCGCUGCUUGGCUGACAUCGUGGUAGCCACCCCCGGCCGCCUGGUGGACCACAUCGACCAGACCCCAGGAUUCAGCCUCCAGCAGCUCCGCUUCCUGGUAUGUCCCCGCCCCAGGGGCCUGGGCUUUGAGCUCAGGGCCGCGCCACCCAGUCCCGGGCUCCCUGUCUCCUGCAGGUUAUCGACGAGGCUGACCGGAUGAUUGACAGCAUGCAUCAGUCCUGGCUGCCGCGGGUGGUGGCGGCCGCCUUCCAGAGCGAGGACCCCGCGGACCCCUGUGCCCUGUUCCAGCGAAGGCAGGCCCAGGCUGUGACAGCCGCCAGCACCUGCUGUCCCCA
rnacentral:sRNA from 1 species